rnacentral:lncRNA from 1 species
AAAACACCCCUGAAAACCACCCGGACCACAGCCACUUGAAGCACGCCCUGGAGAAGGCGGAAGAGCUCUGUUCCCAGGUGAACGAAGGGGUGCGGGAGAAGGAGAACUCUGACCGGCUGGAGUGGAUCCAGGCCCACGUGCAGUGUGAAGGCCUGUCUGAGCUAUUUUCCUAAAUGAGGUUCUAGUAAAAUUACCCACCGACCCUUCUGGAGACGAGCCCAUCUUCCACAUCUCCCACAUUGACCGCGUCUAUACUCUCCGAGCAGAAAGCAUAAAUGAAAGACUGCCUGGGUGCAGAAAAUCAAAGCUGCUUCUGAACUCUACAUAGAGACUGAGAAAAAGAAGCGCGAGAAAGCGUACCUGGCCGUUCCCAAAGGGCAACAGGCAUUGGAAGGUUGAUGGUGAACGUGGUUGAAGGCAUCGAGUUGAAACCCUGUCGGUCACAUGAAAGAGCAACCCGUACUGUGAGGUGACCAUGGGUUCCCAGUGCCACAUCACCAAGACGAUCCAGGAC